rnacentral:lncRNA from 1 species
AGAGUAUGGGUGGGCAACGGCCAAAUCCAAACACCAAGAGGGGUACUUAUUUGGCUGCGUUCCUCUAUAGUUUAAUCUGGGAAGGAGCCAUAGCCUAAUUGGAGACCGUGAACAUCAGCCUACGCUGAGUCACCAGGCAGCGCCGCACAAAUGGGCUAGGGCUUCCCCUUUCCGCGAUUCCUGUCCCUACUCUUUCCCACUCUCUUUCUUCUCUUUGCACAUACUUUUCUUCUCGCCUCUCCUUCGGAUCUGCGUUAAUGAAAAUAUUUUAUCUUGUACAAGUUUAUAAAGCCUACGGUAGUAAAUUCAGGCGUCCCAGGGCUCAAGGACUGCACUCUUGCGGAUUUCUCUGCCGGGUCUGGUGCUGCAGAUGCAAACCCAGGCCCCGUGAACAAAGCGAUCCGGAGCUGCAAUUCCUCCCUGCUCACUCCUGUGGCUGACUUGCACGCACAGACAUCGCCUCCCCACUUGUUGGCGACUGUUUUCCAUUCUUCCCCCAACAAUUCGUCCUUCUCAAUUCCGAUUAGCUGAGACUGAAGCCCUCUACAAAGGACCUGUGCAGCCCACGGAACAACUCCGCAGUUCUCAGGUAGAAGAAUCAGAAUCAGCUUGGAGAAAGGAAGGGGAGAAGGGGUCUUCUGGCCCACCAAGUCGAGGGACAUUGAGGAAGUAAUGAAUCUGUGAUGCGUCCAGAAGAAAAUUCACCCUCUGGGAAAAUGAGCUUCCGUAUUCAUGCUUGGUGUAUCUCCAGCAGUAUCUGCUCUACCUCCAAACAACACUGCAAUUAUUUUUUUUCACCCCGUGGGUGAAAAACCGCUGCCCUAUCUCCCUCAUUUAUUGACUCACACUCCUCCCACAAAACUACAGUGUUGAGGGAUCAGUAACAGAAAUGUUCAAGAAGGCCACACUUGUCUUUAUCACUAAUAUGUGACAUGUAAGAUGGCUUGAAGGAAGUACUGAAAUUAACACCCAGAUGUAAAAGAAUACCCGAAGAUGCCUAGCUGGACAUUGCUAAUACCAACAUUGCAACAGAUCAAUUUGGACAUAAAGCAAACUAUUCAAUAGGGAAGCUAACUAAUAUUCUCUAAUUAGUUAUAAUGAGCAUUUUAAUAGUCUAUGCUGUAUAAAAACAUGUUUAAAUUGAUAUUUAAAAUACACAGCUUCCUAUUCUUUGAAUUAAAUAUUUAAUGUUAUUUUUCCUUAUAGACAAAAAGUUACCUUGAGUCUGCUGGUUUUACAAAAUGAAUUGAAAAUGGAAAUAAAUGUUCCCGUUUAGGCCCCAUUUAAGAGUCACUAGAUUUAGUGUUUAGCUUUUAAUAAAAAUUAUUGCACCCUCUAAUUGGCUGUAAAUUAGGUCCUGUUCUCAUAUUUUACAUCUGUAGAUACCGACAGUUCUUAAACAGUGGAAAUUUUGUGCACAUUCAUAUAAUCUGCUGAAAGUAUAAACAAUGAAAAACGUGGCUGGAAUUUAUUCAUAUUUUUGUACUGACAGAUGAGGCAUUUCAGUUUCAGCUGAAUGAAAGGAUUUUUAAUGGAUUAAUUUAAAGCCAGCACUGGAAUUAUGCAAAAAGAAAUAUGCUAUUGAAAAAUUAAAAAAAGUAUUAGCAUUAGGAAUGAACCCUGCAUUUAAACACAUGAGCAAAAGUUUGACAAGAAGUUAUGACUUUUCAGCAUGACUUUUGGUUUGGUUUUGUCUUCACUUUAAAUUGCGUAAACUAUUGUGUCCUUUAAAAAGUGUAUCAUAAACAAUUAAGAAAAAAUAAAAAAAAUGAAACAGCUUAGGGUUUUUCCCACUUCAAUAUAGAAUUCUUAAAAUUUAUUUCAAAUACAAUAAUCAUACUGGAAUAUAUUUCCAAGCUGAAUUUUCAGAAAUAGUCAAACGAGAAUCCUCAAGUAAAAGGCUAAAGAGUAGUCAUCAUGAGAGGAACUCUACCAAAACACUUAACAUGUUUUGGAAUUUCCAAAUUCAGUCACAUGAAGAAAAGGGAAUGGAAAAAAAAAAAACCUAUCGCAGGCCAUGCAUAACAGGUGAUGUAAAUUUAGAAUAACUAGCAUUUCUAGAAAGUCUUGUGCUUUUUAAUGUUCACCUCUAGUCUUCAGUGCGGGUUCCUUCUCAAAUUACAUAAAAUGUACUUUAAGAAGCACUCACUACCUGCUACAGAUGUCCAGGAAAACUGAAUUAUGGAAGUCGGAAACAUAUGGCAGUUGCCUAUUGCACAAGGAAGGUACAUAUGAAAGUUAUAAAUUUCUUUCUUUAAGUCAGAAUUGUAAACGCAUUUUAUAGGGUUCACAGUAUGUAUUACAUCUGUAGAUUUAAUUUUUGAAAUAUAUGUUUUUUGAGAUAUUUGUGGUUUGAGAUUCUAAGAUAAAUAACUUAUCUUGUUGUAUUUUUAAAAAUCAAGAAAAAAACCCUAACAAAUAAAAAUAAAUAUGUGGAGUGGCAAACAUUUUUCUUUUAUUUCUCAGCUUGUUAUACUGAAAAGGACAUCAGGCCAUCUAUUGGCAAAUAAUUACUCACAACACGGGAGGUACCUGUCAGCAGGGCGUGCUGUAUAUUGAAUUCCCUAUACGAAGAAGCAGAGAUAUCAAUUGAGGAAAGCCAGCUUGGGGAUGAUAUAAAAACCAUCAGAUUAAGAUCUGGACCAUGCAAAUGUCAAAAACACACCAAUUAAACUUGCUUUUGAGAAAAAAUUCCAAGUGCUUGCUGAUUUAUUUUCCAUCAAAAUAUUCAAUUUAUUUCAUUUAACACGUUUGAAACCACAUUUUGAUUGCAAUAAUAAUGUAAUACUACAUACUCAGUAUUAUCAAUGGAUAUCAAGUACUAUCAACUACCAAAACAUCUUCCCUUCACCUUCAAAGUGAUUAAAAAAAAAUCACUCUAAUUUUCUACCUGUAGCACCCUGUUAUCUUUAAAUUUACAUUUAAUUUUGUAGAUUUUAAGAGUCAGAGCUCUCUUGUUUCAGUUUAUUUGGAGAAAUUUGUGAAGCAAGUUAUCUAAAUGGUCUUGGUCAAAAAUGGGUUCAAACAAAUAAAUACCCUGAAAGUAGGCAGGUGCCUACAGGUAAGUUCGCUGUGAGUUCGCUUCAAGAAAACCAUCUUUAGAUUUCCAUCGUGGAGGCAUAGGGAAACACUCAAGAUUGGUCUCCACUUUGUUGUAGAAGAAUGAAACGGAUUUGAGGGGAGAAUAAUGUAAAAUUACAGCAAAUGUUCCCUACCCAGGCAGAAGUUUUAUUUGGUUGUGUUUUGAAUUUCCCCUUUGCGAUCAAUCGAGUGGUCGCCAGUAUUGGUUUUCUCUUCUUUCCCAGUUCCUGCUUUGCCCAGGGCUCCCCCUGGCCAGGCUUUGGAUCACUUGGUCUCUGUGAGACAGUGAGGAAUCGAGCGUUUCAUAUUAUGGGUUUCCAGAAAGACGUGGGAGACGAAUGAGGCGCAGAAAAACUUAUCAGCUUCUUUUCCAUCUGCCUCGGAAAGGUGGAAACAAGGAGAGCGCUGCAGAAAUUUCUAAUUUUUUUAUUUUCCAAGUUUUUGUUGCUUCUUGAGCUCCUGUCCUGCCCUGUCCAGGCCAUUCCACGUCCCCGUCCCCUUGUUUCCACUUAUAAUUAGAACUUUGUAAGGGGGCCCCAACCUGACUCCAUCCGAGAGUAAGCUUAGUUCGGGAUUAUUAAUUUUUUAUGUAGCAUUUAUUACUUGAUAUUAUUUAAUAACAAAACUCUCAAUAAAGUAAAAAGAAAGAAGUCAGUCCAGUUUCCGGGGACACCCUAAAAUCCCUGGGGGCGGUUCCCACUGGUAAAAUACUAAGGAAUUCGUAUUUCCGAUGAAGUUCCAAAGCUGAAAUUAAAAUCCAGUCUGGGUUUCUGAAGCUCAUAUUGUUUUGGACAAUAUCUGCGUUUUCUUUCAUUUAGUUUUCGUUCUUUCUGGUUUUGGUGCUUUUUCUUUUCUUUUCUUCUUUUUUUUUUUUUUUUACAUUGCCGAAGACAAUCUGAUUUACAGUUUGACUGAGAGUUGCAUUUCUGUUUAGAAGGUGAAACGUCUAAAUCGCUUAGCCAAAUUAUUCCCCGACGGCUCCAAUAUUGUGCCAGAGUCCCAGAGUCAGUUAUUUUUAUGUCUGACUGUAUUUCACAUGUGCAGGGUGAUAAAUAAAAUCCGUCUCAAGCUACAAACUAUCUGAGUGUGAUGAGGAACAAUCGACAAAAAUUAACCCAGCCAAAGCGUUGGGGUUCAAGCGAGCGACUGGACCAUAAAUCAGCGUCGCGGUGGCGUCGGGAAGCUGAGCGCUCGGAGGUGCACUCAGCUGCCUCUGGGUUCGCCCAGUCCGAGAGCGGGGCUCCGCCGCGGGAGCCCGGGCAGGAAUCGGACUCCGCCAGGGGUUCGGAGUCUUCUGGGGAAAGGGCGUGUUGGGAGAGAAAGGCAAGCCCACGCAGGAGCGACCUCCUAAUUAAUUCAUCAUCGAGAAUUCUCCAGUGGGGUGUGUGUGUGUGUGUGUGUGUGUGUGUGUGUGUGUAAAAUCAAAAAAGACUUGGGAGGCAAACUUGGGUGGGAAGCACUGAGGAAGGCGAAACAAUUCCCAACUUAUCUGGAUCCCAGACGAGUCCCUCUGAUUGCUUAAGUCACUAGAAAAGGAGAUUCGUCUCAGCGAUUAACAAUGAUACCCUUUUUAAGAGAGAUCAAAGAAGGCGCCUAGGGAAGCUCUACAACGCGGCUUCUUGGAGUUCUGAGGCCGCCUGCGCAUUCACUUUCCAGUGUAAGCCCCCGCUCCGGAAUCCCGGCUCCAGCCCAGCCCGCGCCCCCUUCCCUGGAAAGACCUGGCCGGCCGCGCCCCCGAACCCCCGAGGCGUGGGUGUCAGGCUAAGCGGGGCUGGUCCGACCGGUCGCUUCCAGCUCUCUCCACCUGUUGGAAAGCCCAGGCCCAAGAACCGCGCCAGCGGCGGCAGCACGUCACUCGGCGGCCACGGGGAGUCAGGGAGCGCGGAACGCGGGUUUCUGUUGAUAAGUGCAAAGUACGGCCCUCUCGGUGCUAAGUGCACAGUAAGUGCGAAGAAUAAAUACAUCAUCUCCCGGGGCGGCUGUCUCGAAAACGCCUCUCAGCUGCCUGCGUUUCAGAGCCCGUCAAGGGUUAUAGCUUAGUGUGGGCGUCCGCGCCGCGCCUGCGCCUCCGAGCGCCGGCCGAGAAGGGCGCGCAGCCACAGCCACCACAUGCCACUAGCCCCGCAAGGCGCCUGACUCCUCUAAGGGGAACUCGUAAUGCUCACCAAAAGCCUCAGAAACCCUGGAACCUAUAAGACCGCACCACCGCGCAAACGGUGUCCCGGGCUGCGCUCCCGCACUGCACCGGCAGCCUAUGAGGCGAGGCCAACCCGGAGACUGCGCGCGACGGGCGUGCGUGCGUGCGCCCGCAGAUUCGCUUCAGGCGGUAGGUGUGGAGUACCUGGGCAGCUCCGGCGGGAAUGGUGUUGGGGAGAAGGAGCUGUCAUUCAUAGUCUUCUACAUAUCUGAAUAAAGAAUUGCUUUUUAAAAAUAGGUUCAGAGCCUAGUGAGUGAAAACUUAAAAGUCCCCGCGAGGAGCUCUAGUUCCCGGGCGGCGCGGCCCCGACUUUCUCGUCGGUAGCGCUCUGGCCUUGGGCGCCCGCCGCUUUGGCUAUGGAGGUACAGUGGCCGCGUCCCGGGGAGCCUGGGCCUCCUUGCGGCUCCGAGCCUCCGCGGCGCCCGCGCCCCGACUCUCCGGUCCCGGCUCUCUCCAGGCCCGGCUGUCUCCGGUCCCUCACUGACUUCGCCAGCCGCACCACCCACCUCUUUCUCCCGCAGACGUAAACCCGAAUACGCCCCGGCCUUGGGCCUAGGGCCUCGGCCUCGCCUGGCUCUACAGGAUUCGGGGGCGGGGUAGGCCGGCAGAGCUCAGCUCGCGCCGUGGGUCCACAUGUUUUUAUUUCGUGACCCUGACCGCGUCCCGGCCAUAACUUCCUCUGCGUUACAACGGGGAUAAUAAUCCCCGGCCGGCCUGCCGGAUGGUGGCGGGAUAAUAUAUCCCGGUGAGGGAAGGACCGAGCUUGGCAGAGACACUUAACUGUCCCACUGUGUGGCUGUUCACAGUCCGCCCAGAUUUAGGGGUGGGAUGGGGGGUUUUCGGGCCCCGGCCUGCUCCCCCUCUCCAGACCCCGCAGAAAGGGG